GCGCAGCAGUCGAGAAACUUUACAAUGUGCGAAAGCACGAUAAGGGAACUCUGAGUGCCUCCUAAGGAGGCUGUUCAGGUGUCUAAAAGCACCUGAAGGAAGGGCUGGGUAAGACCGGUGCCAGCCGCCGCGGUAACACCGGCAGCCCAAGUGGUAGCCACGUUUAUUGGGUCUAAAGCGUCCGUAGCCGGCUGGGUAAGUUCCUUGGGAAAUUUGGCUGCUUAACAGUCAAGCUUUCAGGGAAUACUGCCCGGCUUGGGACCGGGAGAGGCCAGAGGUACUCCAGGGGUAGGGGUGAAAUCCAUUAAUCCUUGGGGGACCACCGGUAGCGAAGGCGUCUGACCAGACCGGGUCCGACGGUGAGGGACGAAGGCUAGGGGCGCGAACCGGAUUAGAUACCCGCGUAGU
rnacentral:rRNA from 1 species